rnacentral:lncRNA from 1 species
GGGGAUGUGGCUAAGUGGUGGAGUGCCCCUGAGUUCAAUCUCCGGUACACCCGCCCCCCGCCAACCAAAAAAAAAAAAAAAAAAGCUAAAUACCUUGAACUAGAACAAGAAGAAGCCUUAAGGGGAUCUCAGAAAUCAACAAGAGUCCACCCAUUGCAGGCUUAAGUGGGUAAAAGUGUAUACUCAUUUCAAAGAUUUUAUCUUUAAGAGUGAGCCCUGGGGUGCCCUGCUAGCACAGGGCCCCCUAGGAAAUCGUUUCCCUUGGCUGUUUCCCUGUGUUUGGCAUUCCAGGAACUCAGGGCCCGUGCAGCUAUGGCCCAAGUGGGCUCAGCUACUGUUCACCUUGGUGGCAGAUCUUGGCAUUUUCUAUUUAAAUGCUGUUGUUGCAGGCAUGCAGAAUGCAAGAGCUGUAGGGUCAUGGAGCCUUCACAGAUUUAAAAUCUGGGAGGCCAGGUAGUAUGUGACAGGGUCAAGAGACCCUGGAAGCAGCCCCUAAAAAGGCAAUGUGUGAAGCUAUGAAAGUGAAGCUGAUGAUGCAAUGGAGACCCCAGGAAGUUAGAGAUGCAAAGAACACGGAAUGCUUAACAGACAGUCACAGGCACUGAGCAGAGGCAGCCCAGGAAAGUUGACAUGUCUUAAAUGCUUGAUCCCCAGCUGCUGGUGGUGUUGUGAAGUUUGUGAAGUAGAGAACAUUUAGGAGGUGGGUCUAAUAGAAUGAGGUCAUCAGGGGCAUGCCCUUGAAAUGGCAAUUUGGAACCCCAGAAUCUUCCUCUCCCCUUUUGCUUCCUGGCUACCAUGAAGUGAGUUUUCCUUUGCCACACACUUCUGCCAACUUGUGUUGCCUCAUUACAGGGUCAAGCAAUGGGGCCAAACAACUGUGAACUGAAACCUGUCCAACUGUGAGCGAAAUAAACCUUUUCUCUUUUAAACAGAUUAUCUUGAGUAUCUUGUAAUAGAGACAAAAAGCUGACUAAAACGAGUAGUACGGACAUUUUAACAAUAUUAACUCUUCCAACCCCUGAAUAUGAAUGGUUAGUCCUGUUUUUUGUUUUCUUUUUUUCAUCAAUGUUUUGCAUUUUUCAUGGUAAAAGUUUUUCACAUCCUGUCUUAAAUUUAUU